rnacentral:sRNA from 1 species
GAUAAUUCAUGUGUUAGUUGAUGAACAACUUCAGGCUGGUCAUAUAGAAUUAAUGUUUAGUCCUUGGAACACCCCCAAUUUUGUUAUUAAAAAAAAAAGUCAGAUAAUUGGAGGUUAUUACAGGAUUUAAGGGCAAUAAACCAUGCAAUUCAGCCUAUGGGAUCAUUGCAGCCUGGACUUCCUUCUGCUACAGCAAUUCCUUUAAAUUAUAGCUUAAUGGUAAUAGAUCUAAAAGAUUGUUUUUUCUCAAUAAGGUUGCAUCCUGAGGAUUGUGAAAAACUUGCUUUCAG